CGCCCCCAGAUAGCAUUGAGGGGUUUUGCCUGCCCAGUGAUAAAAUUUAUUUAACGGCUGCGGUACUCUGACCGUACAAAGGUAGCAUAAUCAUUUGCCUAUUAAUUGUAGGCUGGAAUCAAUGGCUUGACGAGGAGAAAACUGUCUUUCUCUAUAUUAUUUGAAUUUAGUUUUUUGGUGAAGAAACCAAAAUUUUGAAAUGGGACGAGAAGACCCUAUUGAGCUUUAGUUUUAAUUAUAAUCAAUAAUAAGAAUGAGCUUUGGUUGGGGCAACUAAUCUUAUAUUAAGACAAGGUUAAUAAUAAGAAGAUUUAAGUCUAUAAAAUUGACCCAUAAUUUUGUGGAAAAUAGAAAAAGUUACCAUAGGGAUAACAGCGUAAUUUUCUUUGAGAGUACAUAUUGACAAGAAAGUUUGCGACCUCGAUGUUGGAUCAAGAUAUCCUGGAGGUGUAGCCGUUUCCAAAGGUGGGUUUGUUCAACCUAUAAAAUCUU
rnacentral:rRNA from 1 species